rnacentral:misc_RNA from 1 species
CGAAUCAAGGGAAGCGUGCCGGUGCAGGCAAGAGACCACCGUAAGCGUCGUUGCAACCAAUUAAGCGCCGAUUCCAAUCAGCGCGACUACGCCCUCGCUGCCUAAGCGACGGCUGGUCUGUCAGACCGGGAACGCCCUCGGCCCGGAUCCUGGCAUCAGCUAGAGGGACCCACCCACGGGUUCGGUCGCGGAAUCCGUGGGGACAUCAAACAGCGACUGGGAUCGUCAUCUCAGCUUGUUCGCGUGACUGAGAGAUCCGAGUAGAGGCACAGCGAACUGCGCACGGAGAAGCCUCGAGGACAUGCC